GCGCCACAACGGCUUCCUGACGUGGCCCACAUUUAACCAUUGGAGCA
rnacentral:ncRNA from 1 species